rnacentral:rRNA from 1 species
AUUGAACGCUGGCGGCAUGCCUUACACAUGCAAGUCGAACGGCAGCACGGGUGCUUGCACCUGGUGGCGAGUGGCGAACGGGUGAGUAAUACAUCGGAACAUGUCCUGUAGUGGGGGAUAGCCCGGCGAAAGCCGGAUUAAUACCGCAUACGAUCUACGGAUGAAGGCGGGGGACCUUCGGGCCUCGCGCUAUAGGGUUGGCCGAUAGCUGAUUAGCUAGUUGGUGGGGUAAAGGCCUACCAAGGCGACGAUCAGUAGCUGGUCUGAGAGGACGACCAGCCACACUGGGACUGAGGCACGGCCCAGACUCCUACGGGAGGCAGCAGUGGGGAAUUUUGGACAAUGGGCGAAAGCCUGAUCCAGCAAUGCCGCGUGUGUGAAGAAGGCCUUCGGGUUGUAAAGCACUUUUGUCCGGAAAGAAAUCCUUGGCUCUAAUACAGUCGGGGGAUGACGGUACCGGAAGAAUAAGCACCGGCUAACUACGUG